GUAGGGAAUAUUGGGCAAUGGAUGCAAGUCUGACCCAGCCAUCCCGCGUGCCGGAAGAAGGCCCUCAGGGUUGUAAACGGCUUUUGACGGUGAAGAACCGACAGGAUGCGUCCUGUUUUGACGGUAGCCGUUGAAUAAGCACCGGCUAACUCCGUGCCAGCAGCCGCGGUAAUACGGAGGGUGCGAGCGUUGUCCGGAUUUAUUGGGUUUAAAGGGUGCGUAGGCUGGAAGGUCAGUCAGCGGUGAAAAGCUAUCGCUUAACGAUAGUCUUGCCGCAGAUACUUCCUUUCUUGGAUGAGGAUGAGGCCACUGGAACGGAUGGUGUAGCGGUGAAAUGCAUAGAUAUCAUCCAGAACACCGAUUGCGAAGGCAGGUGGCUGUACCUUAAUCGACGCUGAUGCACGAAAGCAUGGGGAGCAAACAGGAUUAGAUACCCGGGUAGUCC
rnacentral:rRNA from 1 species